rnacentral:rRNA from 1 species
UAAAGCGAGCGCAGACGGUUACUUAAGCAGGAUGUGAAAUCCCCGGGCUCAACCUGGGAACUGCGUUNUGAACUGGGUAGCUAGAGUAUGUCAGAGGGUGNUAGAAUUCCACGUGUAGCAGUGAAAUGCGUAGAGAUGUGGAGGAAUACCGAUGGCGAAGGCAGCCCCCUGGGAUAAUACUGACGUUCAUGCUCGAAAGCGUGGGUAGCAAACAGGAUUAGAUACCCUGGUAGUCCACGCCCUAAACGAUGUCGAUUAGCUGUUGGGCAGCUUGACUGCUUAGUAGCGUAGCUAACGCGUGAAAUCGACCGCCUGGGGAGUACGGUCGCAAGAUUAAAACUCAAAGGAAUUGACGGGGACCCGCACAAGCGGUGGAUGAUGUGGAUUAAUUCGAUGCAACGCGAAGAACCUUACCUGGUCUUGACAUGUACGGAACCCUCCAGAGACGGAGGGGUGCCUUCGGGAACCGUAACACAGGUGCUGCAUGGCUGUCGUCAGCUCGUGUCGUGAGAUGUUGGGUUAAGUCCCGCAACGAGCGCAACCCUUGUCAUUAGUUGCCAUCAUUCAGUUGGGCACUCUAAUGGGACUGCCGGUGACAAACCGGAGGAAGGUGGGGAUGACGUCAAGUCCUCAUGGCCCUUAUGACCAGGGCUUCACACGUCAUACAAUGGUCGGUACAAAGGGUAGUCAAGCCGCGAGGCGGAGCCAAUCUCAUAAAACCGAUCGUAGUCCGGAUUGCACUCUGCAACUCGAGUGCAUGAAGUCGGAAUCGCUAGUAAUCGCAGGUCAGCAUACUGCGGUGAAUACGUUCCCGGGUCUUGUACACACCGCCC